AGAGAGGCACGCCUUUCGUCUCUGCAGUAACCACCUCAGAAACCUCAUUGCACAGUUUGCGACAAAUUGGGAGAAAGGAGAUGCUGUGCUAAUUUCCUGAUGGAGUAAUUGCUGAUACUUAGGGGAGAAGCAGUUCGACAGAACGUUUCAUUGGGACCAGGGUCAUUUUGAUGGGGCCAGCCUCGCAUUAGGGCCCCACAAAGUACAACUUCAGGGGCACAGAGAGGAGGAAAAUAUUGGAAAA